CUCCCAACAGUUUCCUUCAUUGUGGCCCACUUGAAUAAUAGGUCAGCUUGAUUUUUUGGCCCUAUGGCUCUAAGCCUAACGUGAGAUUACACAUUUAGUGCUGUAAUCUAAUGGAACCAUCAGUUGUCAUGUUAUUGUGAUAGGUGUCCAUGAUGGGCUUUUCAAAUUGGGUUGGUGUUUUCCAAUGCUAGGCCAACCAGAACUUGGGUCUGAACCCAAGUUGCAGCCCUAGACCAAGCAUGCACCUGUGCCCAACACUUCUUUACUUUGUAAUGGGUGCCACUGCUAGCUAACUAUCAUAAUAAUAAAAAAUCUGCAUAUUUGCAAAUUGCUUUGAAACUGAAGUUGACUCUUUUGGGUCUGUGUAUCUUCUUUCAAUAUACUUCAGUCCACUUGAUCUAUUUGAUGAUAUAGAUAUACCAAUGCAGAGAAAAUCUUCUUUUCUUUUUUGGUAAAUUGAAAUUCAUUACAUGCCCACUUUAUCAGUUAUAAUAUCUGGACUGCAACAUUUCGAGAUGCAGGGGAACUUGGUGCAAAUGCUCUAUUAGUUCUGUCAAUUGCUGCUUGUAAAGUUGGUGCUGCUGAAAAGGAGGCAAGUUUUUUUUGUAUGGUUAUUGCCAAGCUGACCUGUUUUUAAAGCCAUGCCCCAGGCGAUUUUUCCCCGUGUUUCAAUUUUCAUUUGCUUCAAUGUUUCUAGUACUUUUUAUACUAUUGCUCUUCAAAAAUUUUACUACCUUUUUUAUGAAAUACAACUAGGAGCAAUUUCUGGCCCCUAAGAAGAAUCCUCUCCCCAAAGUUAGUGCCAAACUUAGUGGAAAAGGAAGAAGAGGAUGAAGCGAGAGCCACCCUAAGACACCAUGUGCAUCCCCUGUUUUGGAGAUACAGGUUCAUCGACGAAAGAAUUCCAUUGAUGCAUUGCUUGCCAAAUAGGUCGUCCUUGCACCCCAAAUGACAACCAAGGGUUGUAAUUGACAAUGAUGCUUGUAAGAAUGAAGCUGCUAUUCAAGUAACCUGGAAUACCGUUUGGUUUUGUGUUGGGAAUUUGAAUCAGAAGAGAGAAAUAUUCAGUGUUUCUGUUUUUUGAUUUUCCAAAAAGUUGUUUAUAUUUAGGGUGCAUUUGGUUGCACCAAAUAUAAUGAAAUUUCUUGAUGUUUUGCACUAAACUAGACUGAUUAAUAAUGAAAUAUUAUGAAAUUUAAUGAUAUUUAGUGCACCCAAACACACCAUUACUGAUUUUUUGUUCUUCUAUGUAUUAGAAACCUUCUUAAAAUGAUACUUAAUGGGAUGUUUUGUUUUUAGGUUGACAGUGUAAAGAAGCAUGGGAUUCUACUAGAAGUAGUUUAGUUUAUGAUUGAUCUGAAACUCCAUGAAGCAUGCGCAUUGCAGUAAAAUCCCUCCAAAUCAUAAAUAUCCAUUAGGAUUUCGAAGAAAAAAAAAAUAAAGAAGAAGAGAGUAGGAAACAUUUUCUUUCUUAAAGGAGAGUUUCAUGGUUUUGACACUUAGAUUAGGAAUUGGUAGAGGAUUAUUGGACAUUGGAAAGAAAAGCUACUGUUUUCAUUCAUUGGAGCCUUGGUUUUCCAAUUGCCGAGUUUUUCUUACUUCUAUUUUUCAUGGCUGGAUACUUGCCAAUUUG